CCUACGGGAGGCAGCAGUGGGGGAUAUUGGACAAUGGGGGGAACCCUGAUCCAGCGACGCCGCGUGAGUGAAGAAGUAUUUCGGUAUGUAAAGCUCUGUCAGCAGGGAAGAAAGAAAUGACGGUACCUGACCAAGAAGCCCCGGCUAACUACGUGCCAGCAGCCGCGGUAAUACGUAGGGGGCAAGCGUUAUCCGGAAUUACUGGGUGUAAAGGGAGCGUAGACGGUGAUGCAAGUCAGAAGUGAAAGCCCGGGGCUCAACUCCGGGACUGCUUUUGAAACUGUGUGACUGGAGUGCAGGGGAGGUAAGCGGAAUUCCUGGUGUAGCGGUGAAAUGCGUAGAUAUCAGGAGGAACACCAGUGGCGAAGGCGGCUUACUGGACUGUAACUGACGUUGAGGCUCGAAAGCGUGGGGAGCAAACAGGAUUAGAUACCCCGGUAGUC
rnacentral:rRNA from 1 species